UUGACCUGUAUAGGUUAAGUGCUUACAGGUCUUAUUUCACUUAAUCGUGAAAACAACCCUACAGAAUGGGUAUAGCUAUCUUUAUUUUAUAGGUGAGAAAACUAAAGGAAUACAACAUGUAUCAGGUAGGAGAGACCACUUUACGGCUUUCACCAUUCACAUUCCUCUUGGAGUAUUUUGCCGCCUUUGAUGACCUGUCAUUCUGCAUAGAGAAGAAUAUAACAUGGGGAAAAGGAUUCUGAAGGUGAAGUGACAGAAGAAAAUUUAAAUCUACAAAUGGCACUAAAAGGAGAAACAUUAAAAAAUAAAUUCCUUGAUAAAAAGAAGAAAAAUGGAGGACAAGAACUUCCAGACCACAAAUGGAAAAAAUGGCCAGAUUUCGAACUUGUUGACACAAGACUUUCUAAAGAAUUCUUUCCUUCAAUCUUCAAAUCCUAAAAUAUUCAAAAUGGUAAUUGCUUAAUCAGUCUCAGAGCAAAACCGUUGGCUUAUGGAGGGUAAAUGGAUAGCACGAAUAAUAAGUUAUUGAUUUUGGAAGCCACUGAGAUUUGGGGGUUAUUUGUUAUUAUAGCAUAACUUUGCAUAUCCUGAUUGUAUUGGGCCUCUAAAAUCACGUUGUAGAAGGAAAUUAUGGAAAAUUAAAAUAAAAAAUUGAUGAAAAAAA